rnacentral:lncRNA from 1 species
CAAAGGCAGGGCAGAAUUAGAAUCCAAUUAUCUUACCUGUUCAGUGUCUUUAAUGAUACAGCAAGCUCACCACUGUUUCUCUUUACUCUUUAAACAGUGGAUUUUUUUUGUCAUGAUUUUGAUUUCUUGUAUAAUGCAGUUCAAUACUUGUUUAAUUUUAAUGUUGGACUCUCAAUUUUUAAGACAGUAGUACACAUGAAAUGUGCUUUAUAUUUUAUGUUUCAACAAGAAAAUACACAUUUUCCUUUUAAUAGAGGAGCUUAAGUUCCUAAUUUAAAUAAUUGAGUAUGAGCUUCAGAUACUUCAGAGUGGUAUUAAUAAACUUUGCUUUUCCAAAUGGUUUCAGAUAAGCAUUUAAUAUUCAAAGCUUCCUCUUUACAGCUUAGGAAGUGGUCUGGUUAAGUGACUUGAGUUCAUACAGGAAUAUAUCGGUAUGUUCCUAAUUCCCAUCAAGUGUACCAUUAUGUAAUCAUAUAAUCUUGCUAACAGAUCUAACAGAUUACUUUUUUUUUUUUUUUUUUUUUGAGACAGAGCCUUGCUCUGUCGCCCAGGCUGGAGUGCAGUGGCGCGAUCUCUACUCACUGUAACCUCCGCCUCCCAGGUUCAAGCAAUUCUUCUGCCUCGGCCUCCCAAGUAGCUGGGACUACAGGCAGGCACUACCACACCCGGCUAAUUUUUGUAUGUUUAGUAGAGACGGGGUUUCACCAUGUUGGCCAGGCUGGUCUGGAACUCUUGACCUCAAGUGAUCCGUCUGCCUCUGCCUCCCAAAGUGCUGGGAUUAUAGGAGUGAGCCACUAUGCCUGUCCUCUAGGGAAAAUCUUUAAUUCAUUCUGGACAAUGAGAAAACUUUUAUUUUUACUUUUAGUUAACAAUACUCAGGAAAAUAAAAAGUGUGCUUUUUAAUCUUAGUAACCCAAUUUGAGUUUGAAACAAAUUUACAUAAUUUUAGCUGCUUAAUAUGCUGCUGAAGAUAAAUGCAGUAAAUAUCCCAAGGUCAAGAUUUGAAAUCCAAAUGUCCAUAGUAAUGAUUAACAGGAAAAGAGAGUCCUCUGUUAACUUUAUUUCUCAAUUUUUUACAGGUUUGGAUAAUUAAGGGAGCACUAGAAAACUUUUUUUUUUUUUUUUGAGAUGGAGUCUGUUGCCCAGGCUGGAGUACAGUGGUACGGUCUCGACUCACUGCAAUCUCCGCUCCUGGGUUCAAGUGAUUUCUCUUGCCUCAGUCUCCUGACUAGCUGGGAUUUACAGGCGCAUGCCACCAUGCCCAGCUAAUUUUUGUAUUUUUAUUAGAGACGGGUUUCAUCAUGUUGGUCAGGCUGGUCUCAAACUCCUGACCUCGUGAUCCACCCGCCUCGGCCUCCCAAAGUGCUGGGAUUACAGGUGUGAGCCACCGUGCCCAGCCGAAAAUGUUUCUUUGCAAGGAUAAAUAUAUGAAGAUAAACUUGCCGAGCGUAAAUAUGUUCAUGAAUAUAGCCACUUAAGGAAAUUCAAACAUGCAGAGAUGUUCAGCUGUAUGCAGUUAUGUAUUCAUGAAGUAUUCAUGUAUUCAUGAAGCCUUAUUUGAUGUAGAAUCUGAGGGUGCUGCCUAUACAUAAACUUGCUUAAAGGUUAAAACUUAAGGAAUGUUCAUCAAAGUCACUUUCUUACACCUAACUCCUGAUUUCAUGAAUAUAACACAUAGGUGCUUAUCAAACUGAAUACCUUGGAGAUGAGCUGCUCCAGCACCAGAAGAUAAAAUUCAGUAACUGUAAUCCUUGAGGUACCUAAGUGAUACAUUUUUUUUAAGACUGAGCCAAAAUAAAACAGCUUUCCUCCUUCCCUACCCUCUCCGACCAAACUUUUAGCCAUUUUAUUUAUUUAUUUAUUUGAGAUGGGGUCUAGCCAUGUGGAGUGCAGUGGCUAUUCACAAGCAUGAUCAUAGCAAAUGACAGCCACAGACUCCUGGGUUCGAGCAAUCCUGCCUCAGCCACUCAAGUAACUAGGACUACAGGCGUAUACUGGGGCUUCUAGCCAUUUAUAUGGUAUUAAGUGACAGCUUCUAUAGUUACUUGGUACUUGUCCCUGUAAAACUGCACAGUGUGUAUUCUCUUGGCUCAAUUAUUAGCAUAUUCUGCCAUUUCCUUGUGAAUGUUUUGUAUUUUAUAUAGGAAAACUUAAGUUUUUAAAUAUCCUGAAAUAACUGAAGAAUUUUGUUUUUGCCUUUAAGUGGUAAUGUAUAAAGUAUACUAUUGCAGAGAUACUUACAGAGUGCUUUCAUUGCAAUUAAAAUACUGCAGCUAACUAGCAUGUUCCAUAUGUGUAAUCUAAAUGACAUACUGGUCAUGUGCUAUUUCUAUGGAAUACUAACAGUAGUAUGGUACAUUUAUGCAGUCUCAACAGUUUAAAGUGUUAUUUUGGUGAUAAACUGUUUACAUUUAUUUGUUUUUAUAUUUGGCAGUCUAAAUGCAAGAGUCUCCAUUUCAGCUCUUUACUCUGCAUAUCUUUAAUGUUGGGCAUUAUGCCUCUUUCUUGAGUUUCAGUCCUAUGACUGUUCCAUUUUCAGUAUUCAUGUUUAUGUGUCUUUCUAAAAUUGUUUUGCUUCUGUUUCUUGCUGCUCUUGAGACAAUUUAUGGGCAAAUUUUGUUACUUUUCAACUGGCCGUGUAUUUCCCUGUGAAGAGUUGCUGGAUUGUCUCAUUUUCCAGAUAAACUGAAUUAAUGUAGUAGUGAGGAGAAGCCAGAUUUCAGAGGUUUGACAAGUGAACAAAUGGGAAUGAGAAAAGAAGUAGGUACUUAAACUUUUAAGAAGUUUGGCUCUGAAAAAGGCAAGAAAUAAUGGGUUAGAGAGGGCAGGAUUGUAAGGAUUUAAGAUAGGAGAAGAGGCAUAAGCAUAUUUAAAUUUCCCUACUUAAGGGCCAAAAUCAUACUGUACCUCAGUCUGAACUUUUUAAAGGAAUUCAAGGACACAAAAUUCUGCCCUGCCCUGAAAUCCAGUCAGGAGGAAGGGAGAAGAGCUCUGAAGUACUUUUGUAAUUUUCUUCUACAUAAUAAUUGAUUUUUGUUUGAUUAUUUUUCUUUCCUAUAGCUCCUGUUUGCCAGGUUUUUCAUAGCUGCCUAUUUAACCAAACUUGUACUCCCAAGAAUAGUGCAUAUUUAUGAUUCUUAAUUCCAAAAACACAUGGCAAUGAUAAUGUCUCUGCUUCUUUUGAGAAAUUAACUUGGUUCUGAAAGAUGGUGUUUGCUUUUCACACCUGUAUCAUUAAUACUUCCUUGCCAAACCUAACUAGGAUCCUCACCACCACUGUUAGAGAAAACUGAUGCUCAGUUGAACCAGAAUGUUAAAUGUGAACAGGAUUUGUCUGUGUUGUUGCCCAGCUAUGUUUAUCCAUACACAUUACCUGGAGGAAGAGAAAUCUGAGAUAAUUGAGUUGAUUAGAUUACUUACAUGAAGAUGGUUUAAUUGUAUCAAUACAGAAAAAUGCACAAGGAAAGAAACUGACACCUUAAGGCAACAAAGCCCUCCAUAAAAAGUAACCGAAUUUUGAGAGUUACGAACUAAUGUCCAUUACCUGAAGUCCUUCUCAUUCCAUUACCCAGUAACAUAAAUCAAAUUCAGUAAAUAAGCUGCUUUAUGUCUUGAGAAAUUUAACUGGCAGAAUAAAUGGAAAGAAGUCAGUAAAAAGGGAGCAGUUGAACAAGCAUGGUGUCUCACACCAAUAACCCCAGCACUUUGGGAGGCCGAGGCAGGCGGAUCACGAGAUCAGGAGAUCGAGACCAUCCUGGCCAACAUGCUGAAACUCCAUCUCUACUAAAAUACAAAAACUUAGCCAGGCAUGCUGGCAUGCGCUUGUAGUCCCAGCUACUCGGGAGGCUGAGGCAGGGGAAUCACUUGAACCCAGGAGGCGGAGGUUGCAGUACAGUGAGCCAAGAUCGCGCCACUGUACUCCAGCCUGGUGACAGAGCAAGACUGUCUCAAAAAAAAAAAAAAGGAAGCUUUUGAAUAAGAAGCAACUCUACAGUACUCUAUUGUAGACAACCAAAGUAUUAAUAUUUGGGGGGCACAAUUUCAACCAACUUUAAAUUAUUUCAUUCUGGAAGUAUGUGUUGAGUAAAUAUGAAGUAUAAGGCCCCUAGAGGUACAGAUGGCUAUGGCCGUCUAAACCAUUUUACUCUUAACUUUUAGUGUCAUGGACCUCUUUGUCAAUCUAGUGAAGUCUAUGGACCGCUUUUUUUUAAAAAAGCCUUUAAACAUAUAAAGUACAGUACAUUGAAUUACAAAAGGAUCCAAGAAUAUUGAAAUAGUUACCAAAAAAAUUUGAUAUAGAAAUAUAUGUGGUUUAUUAAUGAAUAAGAUCUAGCAGUGGCCUUACUAUAAUUUCAACACAGUAGCGUGGUGAGCAUAAAUAUUUCAACUUAUCUGCAACAAUUGUAAUGUGAUAUGGAAAUAAUCAGUUUAAUUGUGACAGUCACAUUUACUGCUAACUACUGUGAUUGACUGGCUAUGUUUACAUUUUAUUAGAAGUUAUUGAAAGUAGAUGCCAGGCAUGGUGGCUCAUGCCUGUAAUCCUAGCACUUUGGGAGGCCAAAGUGGGCAGAUCAUUUGAGCCCACGAGUUCGAGACCAGCCUGGCCAACAUGAUGAAGCCCUGUCUCUACUAAAAAUAAAAAAAAAAAUUAGCCUGGCAUGGUGGCCUGCUGUAGUCCCAGCUACUCACAAGGCUGAGGCAGAAGAAUCACUUGAACCAGGGAGGCAAAGAUUGCUGUGAGCUGAGAUCACGCCACUGCACUCCAGCCUGGGCAACAGAGCCCGACCCUGUCUCAAAAUAAAAGAGAGAUGUAAUGGACCCCUUUAAUUAAUCUAUAAACUCCUAAUUAAGAACCCUGGUUAAAAUUUUUUAAUAGGAGCUUGUCUUCUUCACUGUUGUAUCCAAAGCCUGACUGAAAUCUGUAGACACCUAAGCAGUGAAAAAUUUGAUGCCUUAACCUAUAUAAUUUAAAAUCAAAAUAUUUACACUAUAAGGUGAAUUUAAGGAAGAUCUCAUUUUUCUCAUGGUGAAGACUAAGAUACUUUUUCAAAAUUACUAAAUUUUCAUUUGUUUCAUCAGGGAUGAGGUUGGGGGAGGAUCUAGCUCCUUUAUUAAUACCUGAAUAUAUAGGUUUUAAUAUCCAAGCUUGACUAUAUCCACUACACUUGGUACACAACAGAACAAAUGAAUGAACAUUUUCAUGCCUGUAAUCCUAGCACUUUGAGAAGCCAAGGCAGGAGGAUUGCUUAAGCCCAGGAGCUUGUGACCAGCUUGGACAACAUAGGGAGACCUUAUCUCGACAAUAAAUUUAAAAAUUAGCUGGUUGUGGUGGCACGUGCUGGUAGUCCUAGCUACUGGGGAGGCUAAGGUGAGAGGAUCGCUUGAGCCCAAGAGGUUGAGGCUGCAGUGAGCCAUGAUCAUGCCACUGCACUCCAACUUGGGCUACAGAGCAAGACCUUGUCUCUCAACUAAAAAUAAAAAAUAAAAUUCACGAUACUCCCCAAAAGCUGAUGAUAACAUGUAAGAAGCGACUUGAUUUUACCUUCUAACUCUCCCUCCCUUUUAGCACAAUGCUGCAAAAUGACUGGCUCAUAAACCACUAAGCUGCCUUGGCAGCCACUUGUUAUUGUUACCAGUAGGUAAUAUGCUGUUUUCUUCUGCUUGGCACAUAAGCAGUAGGCAUGAAAUAAUUGCUUAAUGGAUAAGUAAGUUGUUAAAUUAUAAAACUCUGAUGGAUUGCUUAGUCCUUUAACAAUUUACACCCCCCUCCCACUUAUCCAAUUCUUUUGUGACAGAUUUUGCACUAGCAAAGUGCACUGUUUCAGACAAUCAAGGAAAUAAAACAUUUCUUGAUGAAAUCCUACCUCGCCUCAACAGGAAACUGAAUUGGAGUCCUCAAUUCUCAGUACAUCAGAACUAGUGUGUGAAAGGAUCAGGAGAGGACCAUAGUAUUGGAGAAUAAAACAUUAUGUAUUGAUGGUUGAGCUUUAUGUCAUCGUGUAGUAAAUGCUAUGACCAUAAAGCCAUUACUGUUAACACUUAAGUUUAUCUUCUGAAAGAAGCCUAUGAAAUAUCUCCAGAAAGACUAGGGGAUUUUCUUCUGUUUGUUUGUUUGUUUGUUUGAGAUGGAGUUUGCUCUGUUGCUCAGGCUGGAGUACAGUGGUGCGAUCUCGGCUCACUGCAACCUCUGCCUCCCAGGUUCAAGUCAUUCUCCUGCCUCAGCCUCUGGAGUAGCCAGGACUACGCACUGCGCCACCACACCCAGCUAAUUUUGUAUUUUUGGUGCAGACAGGGUUUCCCCAUGUUGGCCAGGCUGGUCUUGAACUCCUGGCCUCAAGUGAUCCGCCCACCUCGGCCCAAAGUGCUGGCCACCGCGCCCAGUCAGACUUGUUUUUUAGUGAAAUAAAUUGUUUUCCUUUAGGACCUUAUUCUUUAUGAUAACAGAUUCCAAGAAUAUGCAGUCUUGUCAAUGGCUGUUUCAUCCUCAGUUUCUUUAAAAAUAAAAUACAAUUAGAACAUUUUUAGAUAUGCUAUAUCUAUCCAAUCUAUUUUCCUGUCACCCAGUAAGGUUUUCUAUCAUCAGCACAGGUCUAUGAAAGGACAGUAAAGGGUCUCCUGUUACAUACCCUAGCACUAAUGUUUGUAAUAGAAUGUUAAGAUAAGUUGUUUCAUGUAAUCGGACUACAUUCAGUCUUUCUCUACCCUCUGUCCUCUAUUUACCCACCUAUGCAUGUGGCCUACUAAUUAUAUUGACUGUACAUGACCAGCAAGUUGUAAGUUCUUUUAAAAGCAGGAGCUCAACCAUAUUUGUAUUCACAUUUCCUUCUGCUUAAAACAGGGCUCUUGUUUCUUCAGUAAAUAUUCAUUCGGUAUCCACUAGGUGUCAGAUAAUAUACAAGGUAGGUUCUAGGGAUUCCAAGAUAAAUAAACACAGAUAUGCCAAUAUGAGUCUGACAGUUUUGGCGGGGAGAGGUGGAAAAUAGAUCUGCAAGCCAAAAAAGCUACAGUAGAAUAAUAUAAAUAUUGUAAUGGCAAUAAAAUACCAGAACUAUUAAUUUUACAUUUAGUAAUCAUUCAGUAUCAAUUAAAUGGGUAAAAUGGAUAUGUUGGCAUGAAUGACAUAUAACUGAAAAAACACUAAGAACUGUAUAGAAACUGAAUUAGACAUAUGAGUAAUAUUAGUAGGAAGGGGAGAGAAUAUUUGAUUCCAGGUAGGCUACCAAGCAGGAUGUUUUUUCAGCACAGCCUUGGAAUAAAAUCUGUAACCUUUGAAAACAAUCACAUUUUUGUUCUUAUGCAAUCUUUGUUUUUAAAUGUAUUUAUUGUUUUGGCUCUAGUCCCUGAAUGUUAAAAUUUUAGUGUCAGUGUUAAUUCUCACUUAUCUUCUCCAGACCUUACUCCCUAAUUUUCUCAUUUUCAUUUGCCCCAAUAAGUGCCAACCUUACCUUGAAUAGAAUAGUGGAUUUAUCAGCUUACAAGGACUAAAAAGUCGUCAUUUCCAAAAACAUCUGUCCAAUAAGUCUGCCUCAGUGACUACAUUUCUAGCAUUACAAUGUCAUUCUUAGUACACUGAUUUGAUCUUUACAAAUUACAUAAAUGUAUAAAAUUGUCGCAUGUACCCUAAAUUAUAUACAUCUAUUAUGUAUGUAUCAAUAAAAAAAUAAUUUUCUGUGCUUUUUCUCCUGUUAAAAAGAAUUCUUUUCUUUUUGAGACAGGGCCUGGCUCUGUCACCCAGGCUGGAGUGCAGUGGUGCAAUCUUGGCUCACUGCAGCCCCUGCCUCCCAGGCUGAAGUGAUCCUCCCACCUCAGCCUCCUGAGUAGUUGGGACUACAGAUGGGUACCACCAUGCCUGGCUAAGUUUUUGUAGAGACAGGGUUUUGCCAUGUUGUCCAGGCUGGUCUCAAACUCCUGAGCUCCAGCAGUCUUCCUGGCUUGGCUUCCCAAAGCGCUGGGAUUACAGGUGUGAGCCACCACACCCAGCUGAUUCUUUAGAAGACCAGUAUUGCAUUGUGAUUGCCUCUGGGCAGGAAAACUAAGGGGCAUCAGUAGACUAUGCAAUUACUUUCUUCCUCUUUAAAAAAGUAUUGUUAAUUUUUAAAUUUACAUAUUUUGGUAUACAAUUCUAUGAGUUUUGACAAAUGCAAAGAAUCAUAUAACCACCGCCAUAAUUGAGAUACUAAACAAUUCUAUCACCUCAAAAAAAAUCCUCUUGAGCUGUCUCAUUUAUAAUUUUUGUGAUUAAAAAUGGUUAUUUUUCAAAAAGUAACGUUUGGGCCAGUGCGCCUGGAGUGCACCAGUAGUCCCAGCUACUAGGGAGGCUGAGGCAGGAGAAUUGCUUGAACCCGGGAGGUGGCGAUUGCAAUCAGCUGAGAUCACACCACUGCACUCCACCCUGUGAGUGGGCUACAGAGUGACACUCUGUCUAAAAACAAAAACAAAAAAACACUUUAAAUGUUUCAUAUAGUUAUUCCUUAUUCAAAAAGUAUGCCUUUUUGGGUUAAGACAGUGCCAUUUCAAAUAGCCUUGUAGAAAUAUAAGCAAGGAAAUGCUAAAUUAUACCAUUAUUGAUCAUUAGUACCUUAGCUUGUAGUUUAAACUGUUGAAGAGAAUUAGGACUCCACCUGGCAUUGUGGCAUAAGCCAGUAGUCCCAGCUACCCAGGAGGCUGAGGCCUGAGCUCAGGAGUUCAAGACUAGACUGAGCACAUAGCGAGAUCUUGUCUCAAAAAAUGAAAGAAAAAGAAUUAGGACUCAGAAAAGGUAAAGGGUGUGUGUGUUUGAUUAGAUAGAGGAUGGGAUUGAAGGCUUAAGGAGGAGAUUAGGGCCUGAGAUGGAACAAUGCGCAUGGAAGGAUAGAUAUGGGUAGUGUGUUCUGAGUAAUAUAAGAGACCUAGAUUCUCAAAGAUAGAGGGCACCAAAGAGAUGAGUCCUGUAGAGGGGUGACCUUCAUGUAAAAAAUGAUCUAUCUUAAUUGGGAGCUACAGACCUGGGAUUCUGUACUGAACUUAUACAGAAUAAGUAAUUUACUCUUCAAAAGUCGCUUCCCCAGCUGGGCGCAGUGGCUCAUGGCUGUAAUCCCAACACUUUGGAAGGCUGAGGCAGGUGGAUCACCUGAGGUGAAACCCCGUCUCUACUAAAAAUAAAAAAAAAGUAGCCAGGCAUGGUGGUGGGUGCCUGUAAUCCCGGCUACUCGGGAGGCUGAGGCAGGAGAAUUGCUCGAAACCAAGAGGCAGAGGUCGCAGUGAGCUGAGAUGGUGCCAUUGCACUCCAGCCUGGGCGACAAAUGCAAAAACUGCAUCUAAAGAAAAAAAAAAAAAGUCACUACGCCUUUCUGGGCCUCAAUUUCAUAAUCUGUAAAAUAGUAAGGUUGGACUGAGUAUAUACCAAGGUCCAUUUCAGAGUUCUCCAGCUAGAAGCAAAACCCUUGUGUGUAUGUGUUAGUUUUUUUCCCCUAAGGUUUUGUCCUCUAGUUUUAACUAGAGAGACACAUUUGGGAUAUUAAUAACCGAAUUCUAGCAAGCAUUAUGAUCUCUUCAGAUUUCAUGUAGUUUGAUGUCAGAAGCUGCAUAGCAAAGUUAAGCCUGAUCUGAAUUGGCUUCAAGUGGAUAGAGCUGUAUGACCCUCAGUCUUCUCAUGUAUAGAAUGACUUAUAUACUCUAAACUUCCUUGUAGUUUUCAUAUUUCAUGACUAUGAAACCUGUGAAAACUUACCAGUGUUUUUUCUAUUCAUACUUCCUUUGAGUCUGCAGCUGCUGUUCUUCUGAUUUGAUUUUUUUGUUGUUUAUUUUUAUUAGCCACUAUUCAUUCAGUACCUUUUAUAUGUCAAAACGUUUGAUAUUUAACCUACGUUAUUUAAGGGCUUUUGUACUGCUGCUGUACUUUAUAGGUGCAUAGAUAUGGUAAAAUCACACCAUGCCUCCUGCUCUGACUCUGGAUAACAUAUUCCUACAGCAGGAUCUCAUUUCAAUAAAAAUUAAAAGAAACACUAGAGAGAGGAAGAAGGGGAGAAGAUAAAUGUGGCUUUAAAUUGAUAAGUGAAAGGCAAGGAACUAACAUUUGAGGAUCUACUAUGUGUUAGACACUUUAUAACAUGGAUCUUCUUUAGAUCAUUGAGAUAAGCAGGUAGAAAGACAUCACAAAGGGAGUCUGCUUGUAUUGAUAGCAAGAAGAAAAAAAUGACUUCAUGCCAUAAAUCACUGGAAUUAUUCAGAAUUUUUGUUUUGCAUGUUAUCCUCCAUUAUGAGGACAAAGACAGCAUAAUGUCUCUAUGUAGUAAGUGUUUGGUGAAUGUUUAUUGAAUAAGUAGGGAUUUUUAUCAUGCAUAUAGUAGUGUUUCUUAAUGUUUUGGAUCCAUGGACUUAUAAAAAUUUUAUAAAAGCUAUGGCUACAUCCAGGAUGUUACCUCCCUCCCCUGCCACACACAAAAGGAAACAGCCAAGUCCCUCCCCUCACUCUAACCAUUCCCACAUCUAUAUUUGUGUAAAACCCAUGAUUUUAAACUGUUUGCAGCCCCUCUGUAAUCCAUUCACAUGACCCAAGAACUCAGCCCUGGAAACAUCUCUGGGUAUCCAGGUAGACUAAAAGCAUAGUUCCAUUAAUUUAUAGUGCUAUAUGGUUCUGCCAUGCUUUAUUGGUCCUUUAUAGACUUGAGAAAAUCACACCAUGCCUCUUGACCAUUAACAAAUGGUCAUGUUCAGUCUUCCUUUUUAUGAGUGGAAAUUCCAUCCAAUUUGCUUUUAGGUUCAUUAAUAUGUACUACAACCAAAAGAUCAGCAGCAUUAUAUACUUUAUCUUUUUUAGUCUUUUGAAGUACAAAUUAUGCGAUUUUACAGAUAAAUUAUCUCAUGGGUAGCAUAUGUCUGGCUUUCUAGGUGGAAUGAUUCCUAUUUCUUUUUGUACCUCUCCCCAUUCAGAACUCACUUUGAGGCCAAGCGUGGUUGCUCAGGCCUGUAAUCCCAGCACUUUGGGAGGCCGAGGCAGGUGGAUCACCUGAGGUCAGGAGUUGGAGACCAGCCUGGCCAACACGACAAACCCCGUCUCUACUAAAAAUACAAAAAUUAGCCUGGCAUGGUGGCACACACCUGUAAUUCCAGCUGCUCGGGAGGCUGAAGCAUGAGAAUCACUUGAACCUGGGAGGCAGAGGUUGCAGUGAGCCAAGGUUGCAGUGGAUCAAGAUCACACCACUGCACUCCAGCCUGGGCAAUAGAGUGAGACUCUGUCUCAAGAAGAAGAAAAAGAAAAAAAACUCACUUUAAACUCUGCUAGACCAUUGCCCUUGUAUGUGAAAUUUUAUCUGGAUAGAAGAAGAUGAGGAAAAAAAUUUUCUUGUCUUUUAGUGGAGGAGAAUGACAUGUAAAACAAGUAUUCUUUAAAAAUUCCAAAUAUGAUAUGAGAACUACCCCAUAAAGUUGUGAAGGUCACAUUGGUGAAAGGAAAACUAAGUGCUGUGUAAAUUACAAAGUUGUCUAAGUAUCCACCUGGUCCUUACCUUGCUAUAGAAUCUUUUUUUUUUUUAGACGGAGUCUAGCUCUGUCGCCCAGGCUGGAGUGCAGUGGCGCAAGCUCCGCUUACUGCAAGCUCCGCCUCCUGGGUUCAUGCCAUUCUCCUGCCUCAACCGCCCGAGUAGCUGGGAUUACAGGUGCCCACCACCACGCCCAGCUAAUUUUUUUUUUUUUUUUGUAUUUUUAGUAGAGACGGGGUUUUCCCAUGUUAGCCAGGAUGGUCUUGAUCUCCUGACCUCGUGAUCUGCCCACCUCGGCCUCCCAAGGUGCUGGGAUUACAGGUGUGAGCCACCACGCCCAGCCUACCUUGCUAUAGAAUCUUUAGGCCUAAUAUAGUCUAGCCAGAACAGCUAUUUGGAUGCUUGCCUAAUCUUCAAUACUGGUUUCCCUUUUAUACAUGACUGCAAAACUGACUCUCACCUAGGUUUGUGAUGUUAGAAACUCCAGUUGUUUACUAUUAUUAUUAAAGUGGGAAACGGAGUUCGUUGAUCAAAUGGAUUAAUGUUUUGAGUACUUACUAUACACCAGGGGCUCUUAAAUUUUUACAUAAACUUUCUGGAUGGAGAGUGAUAGAAUCUCCAUUGUUCACUUGCCACAAGCCACACCAUUUGUAGCUAACAUUUGAAUGCUUACUAUGAGCAAAGGCACUGUUCCAAGGGCAUUACAUGCACAUCAUUCAUAUUUCUCAUUUAAUCUUUAUAACAACUCCUUAAAAUACUGGUAGUAUUCUUGUUCCCUAAUUUGUCAAUAAGAAAACUGAAAUUUAGAGAUUAUACAAUUUGCCCAGCACUAUUGGAAAGCUGGGACUUUGAAACCUGGCUGAUUUGACUCCAAAGUCUGCACUCUAUUCCAACAGACUGCCAGUGCCUCCAGAAUUAAUUAGCAUUAAUAUUUUCUGUUGUUUAUGAUCUAAGUAUGGCUGUCCAUGGCAGGGAGUUAAUGAGGGAGGCAUUAAUGGGGAAACACUGGACCACUUCUGAGAGAUGUGGUGCCCUCCCUCACAAACAGGUUUCUUGUGGUGAAAUCAGGUUGGAAGGAUAAGAGAGGCUGAAGAAGGUGGAGGUGGUGUAGUUGGGCCUGUUUAGGAACUGAUUACAUCUGAGCCUCUGGCCCUUUUUCCUGCCAGCUGACUCAGAGCUGGCAGAUGGGCCAAAGUCCAGGCAGGUUGAUUUCAUGGGCUGUAUACUUCAAAGGAUCUGAUUCCUGGUGCUACUAAGCACAUUGCUUUUCCGAAGGCACAGUCUUGUGGGGGAGGGAACAGGAUGGUCUCCAUGAGGUGUUUGUGAAAGCCCUAGGCAAUGUUUGCUCUAAUCCAAAUAUAUACAGCUUGUUUUGAGUUUGGCAAUAAAACACAGAGCCAGCCCUAAGCAGGGCUGAAAACUGAGUAUUUAAACCUUAAGUAUUCUGCAAUACAACAACAGUUAAGUAUAUGGGUCCUAGAGUCAGAUAGAACUGAAAUCUAAUCUUGACUUCACCACUCAGCUGUAGAUAAAUUACUAGACCUCAGUUUUCUUGUUCGUGAAAUGGGGAUUUUAGUUAUAGAGUACCUACUUCAUAUGGUUGUCGUGAGGAUUAAACAAAAAUGUAUACCACAGUACCUGAGAUGUAGUAAACACUCUUGAAACAUUAGUCAUUAUUCAUUUUUUAAAUUUUUCCUUCAAAUACUUUCCUAUCCAAUAGUCAUUAUUCAUUGAAAACUUCUAUUUUAUAAGACGAUCUCAGCACUUAAACAAAAUAAAUUGAUUCAUCAUGUUUUCACUUAACAGGCAUUCAAAAGGCAUUUAUUAUUGUGUUGGGUAGAUGGAUGGAGAAAAUAGCAAUAAUUUUUGUUGAACACCUAAAAUGAGCCAAACUUUUUAAAAAAUAUUGUCUCAUUUUAUGCUCACAACAGCUCUAUGAAGUAUUUUCCUAUAUUAUAGAUGAGAUCAUGGGCCAAGAGAGGAUUAGCAACAUGCCUAAGAUCAUAUAGUCAGCACUGUCUAAUUCUGAAGCCUAUGAAUAAGGUAGCAUUUAUCCCCACGGAAGCAUGGUAUUCAGCAGGCAGGCAGACACAUAAACAAGUACAGCUGGCCCAUCUAGCCUCACGUUCUGCAUCCAUGGAUUCAACCAAAAAUGGAUUUAAAAUAUUGGGGAAAAAACAAAUAAUAAAACAACUAAAAAAUACAAAUUUUAAAAUAUAGUAUAACAACUACUUACAUAGCUUUUACAUUGUAUUAGGUAUUAUAAGUAAUGUAGAGAUGGUUUAAAGUAUACAAGAGAGUCUGGACACAGUGGCUUAUGCCUGUAAUCCCAGCUUUUUGGGAGGCCAAGGUGGGUGGAUCCCUUGAGCCCAGGAGUUUGAGACCAGCCUGAGCAACAAGAUGAAACCCUGUCUCUACAAAAAAUACAAAAAUUAGCCAGAUGUGUUGGUGCAUGCCUGUGGUCCCAGCUACUCGGGAGAGUGAGGUGGGAGAAUCACUUGAGCCUCAGAGAUCGAGGCUGCAGUAAGCUGUAAUCACGCCACUGCACUCCAGCCUGGGUGACAGAGUAAGACCCUGUCUCAAAAGUAAUAAUAAUAAUAAAGUAUACAAGAGGA